UACAGAGGUCUCAAGCGUUGUUCGGAAUCACUGGGCGUAAAGGGAGCGUAGGCGGGUUCUUAAGUAAGGUGUUUAAUCCCGGGGCCCAACCCCGGACCGGCACCUUAAACUGGGAAUCUUGAAUAGUGGAGAGGUCGGUGGAAUUGGGGGUGUAGCGGUGGAAUGCGUAGAGAUCCCCAAGAACACCAGUUGCGAAGGCGGCCGACUGGACACAUAUUGACGCUGAGGCUCGAAAGCAUGGGGAGCAAACAGG
rnacentral:rRNA from 1 species